ensembl:lincRNA
AGAUACUUGAAAAUGUCAUUGCAGAAACUGUUUCUAUCCAGGCUUAGGGACUCUUUCCACGGCUGGUAUUGAUCAAGAAAACAUAGUCAGGUUUGUGUUGGUUGACUAGUUCUGAGCACGGAUGGCACCUGCACUGGAUUGUGGUUUAAAUAUCCAGUGUCACUUCAUUGAAGAAAAUCGACUUUUCCUCUGCCAGAAGUUACCACUUUCAACUAGCUUCUUGGUUAAAUGGAUUAUAUAGAUGGAUUUGCAUAUAUUGAACUAUCCCUGAAUCCCUGGGAUGAAACCUACUUGAUCAUGAUAGAUGAUUGUUUUGAUCUGUUCUUAGAAUUGGUUUGUGAGAAUUUUAUUGAGUAUUUUUGCAUCAAUACUCAUAAGGAUAUCAGAGGAGAAAAAUAAACACCAAAUCAACUUCAAAUCUUUCAAUCUCCAGUGGUAACAUCUUCAGCAUACACUGGUAAUGAAGGGAAAUGAAAUUUAAGGAUAGCAUUUGAAAUGUAAAUAAAGAAAAUAUCUAAUAAAAAUGGGGGGAAAAAAGAGUACAGCAAUGAAAUACUUCCUAACAAUAUUCUGAUACACUCAUUGAACAGUGUCUUUCUCAGCCAUCAUCAAAGAAACUUCAUCCUCAAACAGAUGAGAACAAAUACAAAGACUCACAGCCAGACAAUGGGCAGAGAGUGAGAGAACUUAGAACCUUCAGCCCUACAUUGGAUGUUUUUACCAAAUACCCUCUUCAGGGCUCAGAGAACUGGGAUGAAGAUUAAGUAGAAAUAUUUUAAGAGCUAGUGGGUAUGGAAUACAUUGGGAAAACAAGACCUUUGAAACAUAACAGAACCAUUGCACAUAAACACACAGACACUGUGGAACUGCACAGGGCCUGCACAGGCCCAAACCAAAUGUUGCCCCAGCACUGAGAGUGGAAUUAAAACCAAGUCUCCAUUCCCAUCAGAGAUUCUAUCUAUCUGCAGUUGAUAACAAUUUUAAAAAGUAAAGUCAGUUUUCUCCAAGGAAGUCUCACUGGGUAUACAAAUCACAGUUAGCGAGGCCCAAGCCCAGAAGCUGCUACCCCAAAUAAAACAAACUCACCUGUAUUUUUUUUUUUUUUUAGUUUUUUUUUUAAUCUUUUCAUUGUUUUUUUUGUUUGGUUUGGUUUGGUUUGGUCUUUAGUUUGUUUUUUUGUUUGUCUUGUAAAACUUGGUCUGGAUAUGUAUGUUUCAUCUGACAAAACUUUUGUGGAAAUAUUUCUAAUUUUGUUCUUUUUAACGGGAUUUUGGGUGAGUAAAUAUGUCUAUGCAUGUGUGUGUUUCUUAUGUUAUUUCUUUGGGUCUUUUUUCUGUUUGUUUUGUCCUAUUCUCAAUUUGUUUAAUUUUACUUUAUAAAUAACUAUUUGUAUUCAAAUAAUAGAGAAAAAUGUUAAGGAUCUUGGUGGGUUUCUAGGUGUAAGAUUUGGGAGGAGUUCGUAGAAGAAAAUUUGUAAUCAGAAUAUAAUGUCUGGGAAAAAUGUGGUCAAUUAAUAAAAAGAAAAUAUGGGUCUACCAAAAUGUUCCAACCUAUUAUACACUAUCCACAGAUACAUAGUGAGUCAUUUACCACAUGCUUUCAGUAGAAUGUUGUCCUGCUGGGCCACAGCAAAGUGUAAAUCUUACUAUACCAUCCUAAUAACAGUCAAUAAUCAGAGCCUCUAUUCAAUAUUUAUAUAUCAAAAUGCCUAAGCUAGUCAUUAAUAAAGAAGUGAAAUUGUUU